rnacentral:rRNA from 1 species
UACAGAGGGUGCAAGCGUUAAUUGGAAUUACUGGGCGUAAAGCGUGCGUAGACGGUUGCGUAAGUCAGAUGUGAAAGCCCCGGGCUCAACCUGGGAAUUGCAUUUGAGACUGCGUAGCUAGGGUGCGGAAGAGGGAAGCGGAAUUUCCGGUGUAGCGGUGAAAUGCGUAGAUAUCGGAAGGAACACCAGUGGCGAAAGCGGCUUCCUGGUCCAGCACCGACGUUCAGGCACGAAAGCGUGGGGAGCAAACAGG